AUUGAACGCUGGCGGCAUGCCUAACAUAUGCAAGUCGAACGGCAGCACAGUAAAGAUUUCGGUCUUUAUGGGUGGCGAGUGGCGGACGGGUGAGUAAUGCGUAGGAAUCUGUCCUGGAGAGUAGGAUAACCCGAGGGAACUCGGGCUAAUACUGCAUGAUAUCGAGAGAUCAAAGGCAGGGGACCCUUCGGGGCCUUGCGCUCUAGGAUGAGCCUACGUCGGAUUAGCUAGUUGGUGGGGUAAAGGCCUACCAAGGCGACGAUCCGUAGCUGGUCUGAGAGGAUGACCAGCCACACUGGGACUGAGCAACGGCCCAGGCUCCUACGGGAGGCAGCAGUGGGGAAUCUUGGACAAUGGGGGAAACCCUGAUCCAGCGAUGCCGCGUGUGUGAAGAAGGCCUUCGGGUUGUAAAGCACUUUAGUUGGGGAAGAAAAGUAAUGAGUGAAUAACUGAUUGCCCUGACGGUACCCAAAGAAUAAGCACCGGCUAACUCUGUGCCAGCCGCCGCCGUAA
rnacentral:rRNA from 1 species